rnacentral:rRNA from 1 species
GACGAACGCUGGCGGCGUGCUUAACACAUGCAAGUCGAACGGAAAGGCCCUGCUUUUGUGGGGUGCUCGAGUGGCGAACGGGUGAGUAACACGUGAGUAACCUGCCCUUGACUUUGGGAUAACUUCAGGAAACUGGGGCUAAUACCGGAUAGGAGCUCCUGCUGCAUGGUGGGGGUUGGAAAGUUUCGGCGGUUGGGGAUGGACUCGCGGCUUAUCAGCUUGUUGGUGGGGUAGUGGCUUACCAAGGCUUUGACGGGUAGCCGGCCUGAGAGGGUGACCGGCCACAUGGGGACUGAGAGGCGGCCGAGACUCCUACGGGAGGCAGCGGGGGGGAAUAGUGCACAAGGGGCGGAAGCCUGAUGCAGCAACGCCGCGUGGGGGAUGACGGCCUUGGGGUUGUAAACCGCUUUCGCCUGUGACGAAGCGUGAGUGACGGUAAUGGGUAAAGAAGCACCGGCUAACUACG